rnacentral:lncRNA from 1 species
CCGGUGACCACAUUUUAUGACACAACAGUUUUCAGCCUGUGAAAAUAGUCUCUCGGGAAGAGAUGUGGAACUGUAAGAGGUUAUAGUGUCCUAUCUGACAACUUGCAUGUUUGCAUUAACCCUUUACAUUCAUACAUCAUUGUCUCCUGCUCUGUUGCUCAUAAUCCCCAAGACUCUUGAGAAGUGAGCAGGACUGAAAGGUGCAUCGCAUGGAGUGUAAGUAAAGAGCUUAUUGAGAGUGAGAAUGCAGUUGAUUUGGUUUUUUUUUAUGGUACUGGGAAUUGAACCCAGGAUCAAUGGGCUGCCUCUCCAGUCCUUUUAUUUUUUAUUUUGAGACAAAGUCUCACUAAGUUGCCCACACAAGACUCAAACUGGUGAUCAUCCUGCCUCAGCCUCCUUCAGAACUGGGUGUUUUAAAUUUUGUUUUGUUUUUUCAAUCCUACUCCAUUUCUCUUGCUAGGAAAUGACAUUAUUUUAUUAUAAUUUCUCAUUUUUCCUACAGGAGCCAGCCCCACUGAUUUCAGAGGGCCAUCUAGGGAAAGGUGAAAGAAAUAUGCAUGUUAUCCUAUACACAGAGGGCCUUCCUCUGUCUAAAAGUAAUGCUUGUCCUAGCAAGGCCUUAGUCUGUAUGUGUUCCCAUGUGUGUGAGCUGUUCAGGGAUUACACAUACAUUUUAAAAUAUAUCUAUCAAAAAACCAAUCCAUUGAUCAAUCAAUCAUGUGCCUAAAUUUAUUUUGAAGGUAAGAAAAUGCAUAGUCAUACAUUAAUACCUGUUACUUGGAUUCUUAUAAAUUAGCAAUGUUUUUAAGGAUUCAGGGAGGGGUUUUUGACAGAAACAAAAAUCACUGACUUAAUAUUUGCUUAUAGAUCCAACAAUUUUUAUGAGCUUCUACACACUUGGUAGAUAAUGUACAAGGUAUCAAGAUUGUAAUAUGUAGUCUCUAUUCUCAUAGCUGCUUCUAAUCAAGAAUAAUAUAUUCAAUAUUUCUGUUAGGAGUAAAUUACUAUAUAAGAAUUUCCAUUCAAGCAUAAAAUCAUGUGUCAGAUGGCUAUUACAUCCUACGAGUGCCCCAAGAAGGGGAAAAUAGUGUGUUCUAGAAAGGCAUCUCUGUGAAGGAGCAGAGAAUUGGCUACACCUCGAACGAUGAGGAACAUUUAAACAGGUACAACAGUGGUAGGAGUGAGGUGAUGAACCUGGUUUUAUGUUGUUACUAGAGAAGCUGGACCUGAAUUAAAGUUGAGCAUGUAUUAUCUCAGAUACUUCUGAACCUGGGAGAUGAAGGUGAGUCUGCCCCUUCCAUAGGUAGGCCUGGUACCUGAGCCUGGGGAUGUGGUCUGGGGGAAGCUGGGGAGAUCUUUGAGUGCAUGCCUCAGAGACCGAGGGACUGUCCAUUUUCAUCUGGACAUACAUUAUAGACAUACCUUCUUAAAUUGGCUUGUGUUAACUUGGAAGUUUAGUACAGCACAGUUUAUCAUAGAAUAAGAAUAGACCCCCAUGAAAAAUGUGGAACUAAGUUUAACUAUUAUGAGAACAUGAGGAGGCUUCACCAUCUCUUAGUUCAGAGCUGCUCUCUUUUCUUGAGAGAUAAGCAGUGAAGGCCCUUCUGUGUAGGCUUUUGAGACUCACACUAUGACCACUGCAAUAGUUUGAAUCUUCUGUGUCCUCAUAGAUCCAUGUGUUAAAGGCUUGGUCCCAGUGUGGCACUAUUGACAGAUACUGAAACCCUUAGGAGGUGGAGUCUAGUGGGAGGAAGUUAAGUCAUUGAGGGGCGUGUCCUUGAGAUAUCGGGAUGCUAGCCCCUCCUCUCUCUUUGCUCCUUGGCUCAUGAUAUAGGUGGUUUACCCUGCUACUCUGCUACGUGGUCUGCUUAAGAUGCACUGCCUCGCCACAGGCCAAACCAAAGGGGCCAAUGAAAAUGGGCUGGAACCUCCAAAAGUUAACUGGUUGAAAACUUCCAUGUGCAGAAGUCCAAGAAAUCCCAACCUCCAGCCAGCAACCAAUGCAAGACUACUAUCCUGAUGUACUGUCACACUGGAGUCAUUUAAAGUCAGUUUUUCUAUGGCACUCUUCAGGUUAUUAUAUUCAGACUGAUCUAUAGGAUACAUUCCUGCAAAUACCAUUGGUUUCACUGAUUUAAAUACAGGCAAGGGCUCCACUGGAUGAUUAUGUAAAUACAACGUAUCUCCUAUUUGUGCUUCAGUGACAUCUUUCAUCCCAGCAAUCAAAUAGCCCACCUGUCCUGCAUAUAAUUUAAGAGUUGGCUGCUCAUUAGGAUUCAGAACUCCUGCUUCAUUAACUUUGCAUGUCUUUUGAGUAUGUGCUGAUACAAUUUUAUCUCCUUUGGAAACCCACUCCAUCAAACAACACUACAUUGGCUAUCACACCUCUAUAUUGGUCAAAGGUGGAGUCAAAUACCAAAACUCUCAGAGGAUUUUUGCGAUGCACCUUAGGAAGGGGUAUUCUUUCAAUAACUGCCUGAAGAACAUGUUCAACAUUUGUUCCAAGUUUAGCAGAAAUCUUAAUACAAUCAUCACUUGGAAUAUCAAAUACUUUUUCAAUUUGUUUUUCAACCCUUUCAGGAUGUGCAUUCUUCAGAUCUGUCUUGUUUAUAACUGGAAUUAUUGACAGCUGUGCUUCAAAAGCAAGAAAGAAGUUUGCUACAGUUUGGGCUUGAAUACCCUCAUUUGCAUCGACCACCAGUAAAACACCCUGGCAAGCAGAAAGUGACCUGGAUACUUCAUAACUGAAAUCAACAUGGCCUGGUGUAUCAAUAAGAUUUAAAACGUACUCCUUUCCUUCAAAAUUGUAAAAAAGAGAUGCUGUCUGUGCUUUAACAGUGAUUCCUGUUUCUCGUUCCACUUGCAGUUUAUCAAGAACUUGCUUAUUGUCUUAUCAACUGUUCCUGUUAGUUCUAACAGCCUGUCAGCUGAAGUACUUUUGCCAUGAUCCACAUGUGCAAUGAUACUGAAAUUUCUAGUAUCUUCAACAGGAAAUCUAGAUGUGUCUGGUUUUUCCCAAGAUCACAUUGGAGGAGCUGUGGAAGGAUUAAAUAAGCAGAAUGGAGCCCGCGUGCUCCAGGCUCUGCCACCCUAGAAAUAACUGGAAGCGGGGUCCACUCGCAAUCCCAGGAAGCCCCGAAAGAGUGCAUGGAGCACGCUGUGAAGUCCAGAAGGGGGCGUAAUCACGGGCUUAGAGGCGGUCACCUUGUGCCGUGCAGAGCUGCAGAGCCUGUCGCUAGCCCAGGACCCUGCAGCAGCCCCGUGUCUGGCAGCGGGCCAGAACCGGGGUGGCUGGGGUCGUGCGGCCCCUGUGGCACAUGGCAGGAGCACGCGUCUGUGCCAGCAGCCCCGGCCUGCGAGGGUCCACAUGGCCUGGGCACUGGAGCCCACAAGCUGGUUUGUUCCCAAGAGCCCAGCUAAGCGCCGCAAGGAAGAAUCUGGAUCGCUCUAGAGGCUAAAUCAGGUUGCCUUACAGUUUUCACCCCACGACUCCCGGCAGGAGGCCAGAAACCAGCACCUUCACUCUCAUUUUUUGUUCUGUAUACCCUAAAGUUGAAUUGCUAAAUCAUAUGGUAAUUCUGGUUUUAGUUUUUAGAGAAACUACCAUAUAGUUUAAUAUAGUAGCUGUAUCAUUUUCUAUUGCCACUAAUGGUGUUCAUGGUUGCAAUUUCUCCCCAUCCUUGCCAACACUUAUUUUUAAAAAAAUAGUAGCCAUUCUAAUGAGUGUGAGGUGGUAUCUCAUUGUGACUUUAAUUUGCUUUUCCCUAAUGAAGCAUCAAUAUUUUUUCCAGGAAAUUUAUAGUUUAACUCUUCCAUUUAAAUCUUUAAUCCAUUUUGAGUUAAUCUUUAUAUGUAAUGACUUUAUUUUUUUGCAUGUGAACAUACAAUUUUUCCAGAACUACUUGUUGAAAAGACUUUCUCUUCCCAUUUACUGGCCUUGGAAAUCUUGUCAAAAAUAAUUAGGUCACUUGUGAAGGGUUUAUUUCUGUACUGUUUAUUCUAUUCCACUGAUCUAUGUCUGUUUUUAAUGUCUUUAUGUGCCAUACUGUUUUGAUUACUAUAGCUUUGUAAUAAGUUUUGACAAAAUGUGAUUGGUCCAAAGCUGUUCUUUUUCUUAAUUGUUUUGUUAUUCUGGAUCCCCAGUUGAUCUGAGGAUGGAUUUUUCUGUUUCUGCCAAAAAGUACCACUGAGAUUUUGAUAGAAAUUUCAUAAAAUCUUUGGGUUAUUUGGUUAAUACUGAUAUCUGUUUUCAUUUCUUUCUCUCUUUUUUUUUCGUACCAGGGAUCGAGCUUGGGACCUGGUGCUUGUGAGGUGGUUGGCAGCACCACUGAGCUAAAUCCCCCACCCUGUUUUCAUUUCUUCUGACACAAGAUUAACCAACUUCAAAAUUGUUACACUUAGUUUCUAAAAGAGACAAGGAGAACUGCUGUGCUUAAAGAACUUUCAGAGAUUGUGCACAAUGUGCCCGCAGGGCUGUGUUCCUCUUUUCCCUCCUAGAACCGGUCCAUGUUUUAUUCCCAGCCAGCCUCCUCUUAGCAGAACAGGACAUGAACACUCAUGUAAAAGUCCUUACAAUAUUUGUGCUAGUCAAUCGGCAUAAAUUCAAACGUGCAAUGAUGGAAUCAUUGGUACUACUUUUAAUUCCAGGGAAAAAGGACUUUUUGGUUGAUCAGUGGCAAGUGCCAGCCCGCUAUAAAUGUAGACUCUCUCCCUCCCUUGCUUCCUACAGCAAUAGGCCCUUAACUGCUCCUUAGCAAUUUUGCAUUGCCCAUUUUGCUUCAUAUAUAUAUUUCUUUUUAGGACUGAGAAUUUGAACCUCUUUGACAAGUCUUUAAAAAUGCAUCAUUAUGGGAGAGACUAAUUAUUCUUAGGACUUUGAUAAUCUUUUAUUUUUGAAAGGCCAUUCAUUCAUAUAUAUAUGUAUUUCUUUUUAGGACUGAGAAUUUGAACCUCUUUGACAAGCCUUUAAAAAUGCAUCAUUAUGGGAGAGACUAAUUAUUCUUAGGACUUUGAUAAUCUUUUAUUUUUGAAAGGCCAUUCAUUCAUAUAUAUAUAUAUAUUUCUUUUUAGGACUGAGAAUUUGAACCUCUUUGACAAGCCUUUAAAAAUGCAUCAUUAUGGGAGAGACUAAUUAUUCUUAGGACUUUGAUAAUCUUUUAUUUUUGAAAGGCCAUCCAUUCACCUGUUUUGUUCAUUCAGAUGAAAAUUAAUAGAACACACAUCAUGAUUUUCAAAGCUAUUUUGAAAUGAUGGAAACCCUGCCCAAACCUUUGAAGAAAAGCACUUGCUUUAAUAGAUUUGAGAAGGUAUCCUAGCAACCACUCUAUAGUGAAAUUUAUCAAUUUCUCAGGGAGAAUUUGUAUUAAAUCCAAGAAAGAGACACUUCAAUUUUAAUUUCUUAGAGUCAUUUUUUCUACAUUGUUUCAGAGAUCGGACAUUCUUAGAUAUCUUCACUCUUGAGACUUCAUUUAAUAACCACUAAAAGCAUAUUUGAUGUUACCCUACAUGGGCUGUCUCCUUCAGUGGUACUGAAUUCCAGCUGGUACAGAAAGAUGAUAGAUAGAUAGGAGGUGUAUAUUUUAAAAUAGUAUAAGAAGCCAAAAAAAGUGCAAAAAUAUUAUAUAUGUAUUUGUGCUUUUUUGUUUUUAUUUCUAUACAUGCAAAAAUAUGGCCCAAAACCUUGUUGACCCUGAGGAAGCCUGAGGCCUAGAAAACAUUCAUUCACACUAAUCUGGCUUUUCUUUGGUUUUAUAAAAGGGAAGAGAUUUAUUUGGUUUUGCUUUCAGAUUUCAGUUAUUUCUAAAUUGAAAACUUUAAAAAAAUGUGAAUGCAAAUGAAAAUAGAAUUUGUUUCCAGAUGUAUAAACACAUCAAGCAUGAAAUGACAUGAACCAAAUAUGCAUUCUGCAAGUAGGAUUCAGAAGUGAGCUGGCUAUUAAAAUUAAAUAGUGUUAACAAUGCAAUUCUAGAUCACCAGGGAAUAGGGCCUGCAUAGAAAAUUCAUAUGCGUGAGAAAGACUUAGUCUCAGGGGUUUUGUUAUCUUGAAAAGCAAAGUGAAACUGCUAUGUGGAUUGGUCUAUGGGGAUUUAUAGUUUGUGUGUUGUUUGCAGUCAUUUAGUGUCUACCUAGAUAUAUAUGCGGAUGUGUACAUGAGGACAUGCAUGCACACAACAUAGUUAUUUUAAUUAUGAUGCUAUGAUAAUUUAGUUGUAGGGAGAGAAUUUCCAUAACUUAGCAGGAAUGCUAAUGUUUCUUUGAUGUAUGCCAGUGACAGAUGAAGACUUUAUUUAUAAUGUAUUAAGAUGAACCCUACAUUUAUAGCUACAGCUUUCUUCUGGAAUGAUGCCAAUUAACAAGAAUACAAGUAGAGCAUACUUUUCCUUCCAAAAUAGCAGGGAUUCAAUAAAGAUUUGUUGAUUUCAUUAUUCUAUAUUCUUCGAUUAGAUUUUUAUUUAAGUAUAAUAUGAAUUAUA